rnacentral:sRNA from 2 species
GGUUCGGGUCGAACGCAGUGAGACAACGGAGCCGCUUGCGGCGACGGCCCGAAGGGCGAGGCGAAGCCGAGUCAUCCUGCACGACCCACCA